rnacentral:rRNA from 1 species
AACCUCCGCAAUGUGAGAAAUCGCGACGGGGGGAUCCCAAGUGCCAUUCUUAACGGGAUGGCUUUUCAUUAGUGUAAAGAGCUUUUGGAAUAAGGGCUGGGCAAGACCGGUGCCAGCCGCCGCGGUAACACCGGCAGCUCUAGUGGUAGCAGUUUUUAUUGGGCCUAAAGCGUCCGUAGCCGGUUUAAUAAGUCUCUGGUGAAAUCCUGUAGCCUAACUGUGGGAAUUGCUGGAGAUACUAUUAGACUUGAGACCGGGAGAGGUUAGAGGUACUCCCAGGGUAGAGGUGAAAUUCUGUAAUCCUGGGAGGACCGCCUGUUGCGAAGGCGUCUAACUGGAACGGUUCUGACGGUGAGGGACGAAAGUUAGGGGCGCGAACCGGAUUAGAUACCCGGGUAAUCCUAACUGUAAACGAUGCGGACUUGGUGUUGGGGUGGCUUUGAGCUGCUCCAGUGCCGAAGGGAAGCUGUUAAGUCCGCCGCCUGGGAAGUACGGUCGCAAGACUGAAACUUAAAGGAAUU